UCCCUGGUGGCUUAAAUGGUAAAGAAUCUGCCUGCAAUGCAGGAGACCCAGGUUCAAUCCUUGGUUUGGAAA
rnacentral:tRNA from 1 species